rfam:Staphylococcus sp. HGB0015 genomic scaffold aczIz-supercont1.2, whole genome shotgun sequence.
UCCACAGUAGCUCAGUGGUAGAGCUAUCGGCUGUUAACCGAUCGGUCGUAGGUUCGAGUCCUACCUGUGGAG